rnacentral:rRNA from 1 species
UACAGAGGGAGCGAGCGUUAUCCGGAAUGAUUGGGCGUAAAGCGUCUGUAGGUGGUUUAGAAAGUCUACUGUCAAAUACCAAGGCUCAACCUUGGGCAGGCAGUAGAGUACUUUUAGACUAGAGUGUGGUAGAGGUAGAGGGAAUCCCUAGCGUAACAGUGAAAUGUGUAGAUUUUAGGGAGAACACCAGCGGCGAAGGCGCUCUACUGGGCCAAGACUGACACUGAGAGACGAAAGCUAGGGGGAGCGAACAGG